rnacentral:lncRNA from 1 species
CCAAGAACGACAGUAACAAGAACGACAACCCCCGGCGAUUCCGGUCAGCUUCUCCGGCGGGAUUCCACCGGUAACACGACAAAGAUAAAGGUUUGAGGGUUACAAGACCAGAUCGGUGACGAGUUGCAACGUGACGUAAGAAUCAGAGGUUUCGGUGUGCGAUGGUGGUGGUGGUGGUGACCCGUUGGAAUCAAGAUCUCCGGUGAUGGAACAUGUGCGGAAGCUAAGGUUUCGCUCUGCUUCGUCACGACCACGCAGGGGAAAAGAAGGAAGGGAACACUGCUAGAUACAUCACUAGAUCGCAAGCUGUUAAGUAUCUUCAUGUUUUUAACUCCAUGUGGCGGGUGUUGACCUGUUGUAUCCCGGCGGCUCCGGCCGUCUUUGGCGGGUAGCAGAUUUACCCUGUCGUUGUCGGCGGCUACGGCCGUCUAUGGUGGCGGCGGAAGGUGAUGAUGAUGAGUUGGGCCGCGGUGCAUUUACCCCGUAGUUGCCGGAGGCUACGACCGUCUAUGGUGGCCGCCGAAGGUGAUGAUGAUGAGUUGGGUCUCAUCUGAGCCUCCAUGGCUACACAACCCUAGCGGCGGCGACUAUGGUUCCGCAAUAUUUGGUUUCAAGGCCAACGGACAUACUGAUAAUCGAUGACGAUGAUCCAAAUUUCAUCUGAGAUUAUCAAAAUAGGGUGGUGAUGAUGAUAGGAUAAACCAUAUCUAGAACCUAAUUGCAAAUGUUUUUACUUUUUUUUUUUUUUUGUACCGAAAUCAGUUUUUUGGAGCUGUUGGAGAUUAAAAGUUACAAAAGUUAUUAGAGGGGAAAAAGGGGUGAUGAGUAAAAUCGAGAUGGCCUGUUUGGGUGUUUUGAGAUUGUUAUGGUCAUGAUGAUUAUUUUAUAAGUUUUAUUGUUUUAUGGAGAUAUAUCACAAAAUUUAUCCUUUGCAAUACGACAUUUUGACUUU